AUUGAACGCUGGCGGCAUGCCUUACACAUGCAAGUCGAACGGUAACAGGUCUUCGGAUGCUGACGAGUGGCGAACGGGUGAGUAAUACAUCGGAACGUGCCCGAGAGUGGGGGAUAACGAGGCGAAAGCUUUGCUAAUACCGCAUACGAUCUCAGGAUGAAAGCAGGGGACCGCAAGGCCUUGCGCUCACGGAGCGGCCGAUGGCAGCUUAGGUAGUUGGUGGGGUAAAAGCUUACCAAGCCGACGAUCUGUAGCUGGUCUGAGAGGACGACCAGCCAAACUGGAGCUGGGAAACGGCCCAGACGCCUACGGGCGGCAGCAGUGGGGAAUUUUGAACAAUGGGCGCAAGCCUGAUCCAGCCAUGCCGCGUGCAGGAUGAAGGCCUUCGGGUUGUAAACUGCUUUUGUACGGAACGAAAAGACUCUGGUUAAUACCUGGGGUCCAUGACGGUACCGUAAGAAUAAGCACCGGCUAACUACGUGCCAGCAGCCGCGGUAACAC
rnacentral:rRNA from 1 species